AGUGAAUGCUGGCGGCGUGCCUAACACAUGCAAGUCGAACGAUGAUGGAGAGCUUGCUCUCCUGAUUAGUGGCGCACGGGUGAGUAUACCAUAGAUAAUGUACCCCUUAGUUCGGGAUAGCCACUGGAAACGGUGAUUAAUACCGGAUACUCCUUCUCAUUAUAAGAUGAGUCGGGAAAGUUUUUUCGCUAAGGGAUCAGUCUAUGUCCUAUCAGCUAGUUGGUGAGGUAAUGGCUCACCAAGGCUAUGACGGGUAUCUGGUUUGAGAGGAUGAUCAGACACGCUGGAACUGAGACACGGUCCAGACUCCUACGGGGGGCAGCAGUGAGGAAUAUUGCACAAUGGAGGAAACUCUGAUGCAGCAACGCCGCGUGGAGGAUGACGCAUUUCGGUGUGUAAACUCCUUUUAAGAGGGAAGAUUAUGACGGUACCUCUUGAAUAAGCACCGGCUAACUCCGUGCCAGCCGCCGCCGUAA
rnacentral:rRNA from 1 species